AAUCACAGCCCUGACGGCGAGACGGGCGGUUCGGUGCGGCGCCACCGGGAGGCCGGGAGCCGGGCGCGCAGAGCCGCUCGCAGGGAGGGCGCGGCUGCGCGCGGUCGUAGGCGCCCUCCGCGGCGCCGCCGAGUGCAGCGGGCGCCCCGGGCGCGCAGGGUGCCCGCGCCGCCCUGCGGCCGGGUGUUGGCGGGGCACGGCGCCGGGCGGGGCUGGCCUGCCUAUUUUUCCCUCCGUGGCGGUCUGCCUACCGGUUCCCUUUUUGUUUUUUGUUUUUCAUGUUUUCGGUCCUACAGUUAAUUCGUUAGGAGUAGCCUUGAAGAUGAAAUUAACCAGUCAAGACAUUCCGGCCGCCCUAUACGCCGGGCAAUUAGGACGCAUCUAAUAAGAGUAAUCGGGCGUUUAUAAGCAAACUCCAGACUGUUACGAAUUAAAAAAAAAAAAAAAAAGCCAGCGAGAGGGUGUGCCCCAACGUUGUCGUCUUCAGCUGUUUUGGAGCGAAGUUCAGGGCGCGGGUUGCCGGACAUUUGGGUCCUCCUCCCUCGCUGGGCGGGGCUGGGAGGGGCGCGGCGCAGGGUACAGAGCACAGACCUUAGAGCAGGAACGCCCGGCUACGCUAUUUACGAGCUGUGAGAUCUUGGACGAAUUCCUUAACCUCUCUGGGCCUCAGUUUCCUCCUAUAAAGUGAAGGAGUUUGGAGACAUGACCUUAGGCCCUUCUCUGCUCUGGAGCUCCAAUCCUUCCGCUGAGAUGAUGGUGUGUGUGAAUGGAGAAGUACUGUAGCGGAAGUCAGGGAACUUAGGUUUUGGUCCAGGGUCUGUGUUAGCCUCAGUUUACCCAAUUCUUAAGUAGCGCCAGCCAUCUGUACCCCACAGGGUCCUUAUGAGGACCCAAUGUUAAGAGGUGUUGAGAGUCCAUUGCUGACAACUCGCUGUGCACCGUCACACAACUUCUGUCCUCAGUUUCCUUAUCUGCAAAGUGGGGGUGUUGGUAGCAGAGAAAAAUAGAGCCGGGAACGCGAAGCUUUCCUGGGGCUCUAUAUAAAGCGCUGGCAUUUCCGGGACGGCUGGCGGCAUCUGGCCGCCCCAAGGGCCCCAAGAUACGGAUCUGCACAAGCAGAGGCGGCACAGGGUUUGGCUUCCAGUUGGGAAAUGAAGCUCCAAGGGCAGCCCUACUAUGGCGGGCUGUGUGACCUGGGCCAAGCCCCUUGACAUCUCCAGACUCGGCUUCCACAUCUGCCACCACCAGGACACUGGAUUGAAUGUUGGGUACGUUGUAAGGCAAGGGAGACACAGAAGUCCUAAAGGCAAUAAAGCUUUUCCCCACUGCCCCUCCAUCUGGACGAGUCUCCUGCCAAGCAUCUUCAAGUCCCACUUUGAAACACGAUUCUGCCACCUUCCUGUUCUGAGGAUCUGGGAAAGCAAGGGGGAAGGGGCUAUUGGGAGUCCCGCUUGCUCCAGGCCCAGACCAGGAGGCUCAGGCAGGCUUAUCUACUUCUGAUGUGGUGGGGGGCCCAGGAUGCUGCCAGGGUCUCACAGCCAUGGUCUCACAGCCACUAUCAGCCUGUCCUCAAGGGUAUAAGAGAAGCUGGAAGCCUAGAUGGGCACUGCCCUCAGGCAACUUCCAAUCCAGCCAAGAAGAAUAAAGAGUAACACACAAAAUAUUGGGGGCAUGAGGCAAUAACUGUGGGUACACCUAUAAAAACCUCUAAUUGGGCUUACCUGGUACCAGACAGUAUUUUAAUUGGAUCAUAUAUAGUGCAUUAAUUCAGUUAAUAUUCACAACACCCCUAUGAGGUAGCUACAAUUAUUAUCCCCAUUCGAUGAUGGGGAAAACUGACAUCAGAAGAGGUCAACUUGCCCAAGUUUCCAGAGCUGAAAAGCAACAGAGCUGAGAUUUCACUGCAGGUAUUCUGGCCCCAGAGUCUUGGUACAAAUAGUGUUAAUGAACAAGUCUUCUUCUGGUAAGAGCACCCCAAUUUUCCUUUGGAGAACCUCCACUUCCUCAUUUCAUGUGCCAUGGGUGACCCUACCCUUGAGCUCUUGAGGUGAACACAUGGACACACGAUCCAGUCCUGACCAAACAGAAUAUCUCACUUCCCUGGCUACAGUUAGUGAUAGGUUCAGGAUUGUAGCAAUGACCCAAGACUGGCUUCUGAGAGUCACAUUUGAGACUGUGGCUCAAACUCUUAGAGAAGCACUCGUUUUUCAACUGAGACACUACAGUCUUUACUACUCCUUGAAGACGGACUACCAGGAAGAAAGCCAACCUAGAGGGCUGCAAAGCUGAGCAGUGGAGAACAGCAAGUUCCUGAUGACAUUGUUUGAUGGCCUAAACCCCAUUAUACUUCCACUGGUUAUCUCCCUGGACUUUCCUGUUACACAGAAAUUAUCCCUUUUGUGUUGAAGCCAAUUUGAAUUGGAUAUCUGUCACUUACAACCAAAAAGGUCCAAAUGUGCUAGUGAACACAGAGCACAUACUGUGAGCAACUACUCUUUUUCUUCUUUCUUUCUUUCUUUUUUCUGAGACAGAGUCUUUCUCUGUCACCCAGGCUGGAGUGCAGUGGUGCAAUCUCGGCUCACUGCAACCUCUGCCUCCUGGGUUCAAGUGAUUCUCCUGCCUCAGCCUCCCGAGUAGCUGGGAUUAUAGACACGUGCCACCACGCCCGGCUAAUUUUUGUAUUCUUAGUAGAGACGGGGUUUCACCAUGUUGGCCAGGCUGGUCUCGAACUCCUGACCUUGUGAUCUGCCCACCUCGGCCUCCUAAAGUGCUGGGAUUACAGGUGUGAGCCACCGCGCCCGGCCCGAGCACCUAAGCUUUUCAAGACAUUUCCAGAAAAACAAAUGCAGGUAAGAAAGGAUCAGUCUUCAAAGAACUUGGAAGCUGGUGAGGGAUUACAAAGAUUCUCAAAUAACUUUAAAACAAGUCAGAACACAAUUGACAGCACAAGGCAGCUACCCGGGUUCUCUGGUUAAUGCAAAGGGUGAGAAUUUUCUAUAUUGGAUGGAACACAUCAGAAAAGUUCUCACGAAGGUGGUAGCAGUGAAAUUGGCCUCAGAAGUCUGAUAGGAUGUUGGCAGGUGAAGGCAGGGAAGCUACAGGGCAGACAGCAUGAGGAAGGGCCCAGGUUCAGGGAAGUAUGGGCAUGCAGGGGCAAGUGUAAAUUGAUGGGAUUGCCUGGGACCAGAGGAAAGGUCUAAAACGUACAGUCUGAGGCUGGGGCGGGGUGGGGAAAGGAUGGUUCUGAGGUAUCUGAAGUAUCUCCAAAUAUCUGAAGAUAUUCCCCAUGGAAAAGAAACUAGGCUUAUUUGGAGUGACCCCAGAGGACAAGACUACGACUAAAAAUGGACGCUCGCAAAUGGAGGAAGUAGACCUGACCCCUGACUAAGGAAGAUGGUGCUACCUGUUUGGGGCAAAUGUUCAAAAAGAGGCUGUGUCUGUAUGGUGGAUGCUGUUAAAAGGGACUCAGAAACCAAAUGAGAGUCUGAAUUAGCUGAGUUUAACAUUCUGUGAGUUUUGUGCCAGACUUGGGACUACUGCAGAAGACCCUGGGAGAGUUGGGAUUGAAUUCCAAAGGCAGUGCUGAUGGACACUGACUUGAGGAGCCAGGAAAGAAGGCAGGAACAGUGGUGGGGAUCACAGCCUCACCUGUAUCUGUGCACUUCUAUAAAUUCACAGACUGGGAAUUUUUAAUGUGAACUGGAUAUUAGAUGAUGACCAGGAAUUGUUUUAAUUCUGUUAGGUGGGAUAAUACCAUUCACUGUGCUGUGUAAGAUAAUGUCCAUAUUGUUUAGAGAUGCAUACUGAAGAAUAUAGGAUGAAAUGACAUA
rnacentral:lncRNA from 1 species